CGGCAAUGAGGAUAAAAAUGUAGGAAUGACAUGAGCAUGAUUUGUAUUAUACGCUAUUCUGAGCCCUUU